GAUGAACGCUGGCGGCGUGCCUAAUACAUGCAAGUCGAACGGAGAACCCGAGUGAGUAAUCAUUUGGAAUUCUUAGUGGCGAACGGGUGAGUAACGCGUUGGUGACCUGCCCCGAAGAGGGGGAUAACAGCUCGAAAGGGCUGCUAAUACCCCAUGUGAUCUACCAGGUUAGAGGCUGGUGGAUGAAAGAUUUCGGUCGCUUCGGGAGGGGCCUGCGUCCCAUCAGCUAGUUGGUAGGGUAAAGGCCUACCAAGGCAAAGACGGGUAGGGGACCUGAGAGGGUGACCCCCCACAAUGGAACUGAAACACGGUCCAUACACCUACGGGUGGCAGCAGUAGGGAAUAUUGCACAAUGGGCGAAAGCCUGAUGCAGCAACGCCGCGUGCGCGAUGAAGGCCUUCGGGUUGUAAAGCGCUUUUCGGGGAGAUGAGAAAGGACAGUAUCCCCGGAAUAAGGUUCGGCUAACUACGUG
rnacentral:rRNA from 1 species